rnacentral:rRNA from 1 species
AUUGAACGCUGGCGGCAGGCCUAACACAUGCAAGUCGAGCGGUAGAGAGGAGCUUGCUUCUCUUGAGAGCGGCGGACGGGUGAGUAAUGCCUAGGAAUCUGCCUGAUAGUGGGGGAUAACGUCCGGAAACGGACGCUAAUACCGCAUACGUCCUACGGGAGAAAGUGGGGGCUCUUCGGACCUCACGCUAUCAGAUGAGCCUAGGUCGGAUUAGCUAGUUGGUGGGGUAAGGGCUCACCAAGGCGACGAUCCGUAACUGGUCUGAGAGGAUGAUCAGUCACACUGGAACUGAGACACGGUCCAGACUCCUACGGGAGGCAGCAGUGGGGAAUAUUGGACAAUGGGCGAAAGCCUGAUCCAGCCAUGCCGCGUGUGUGAAGAAGGUCUUCGGAUUGUAAAGCACUUUAAGUUGGGAGGAAGGGUCGUUACCUAAUACGUGACGAUUUUGACGUUACCGACAGAAUAAGCACCGGCUAACUCUGUGCCAGCAGCCGCAGUAA